rnacentral:rRNA from 1 species
GACGUAGGGCGCGAGCGUUGUCCGGAUUUAUUGGGCGUAAAGCGCACGUAGGCGGUUUGUUAAGUCGGAUGUGAAAUCCCUCGGCUCAACUGAGGAAGUGCAUCCGAAACUGGCAAGCUUGAGUACGAAAGAGGGUCGCGGAAUUCCCGGUGUAGCAGUGAAAUGCGUAGAGAUCGGGAGGAACACCAGUGGCGAAGGCGGAUCUCUGGGCCUUACCUGACGCUCAGGUGCGAAAGCUAGGGGAGCGAACAGG